rnacentral:rRNA from 1 species
UUCGGUGGUUAUGGCGGAGGAAAAAACGCUCCAUCCCAUCCCGAACUGGAAAGCGAAAGCCUCCUGCGGCAAUGGUACUACGUCCUAAGGCGUGGGAGAGUAGCACGCUGCCGGAC